CUGUCCAAAUCUGGAGAAGAACGCAAUGGAAAUGCCAAAAAAUCUCCUAAAACAGGCUCAGAGCACUCAGAAGUGACUGUAGCAACGACCACACGUGUUCCCAAAGCUGAGCAGCACAUUGAAAGUAUUUUCUGUCGUGGAGUAGGCUGUAUGAUAGGCAUAGUGAUAGUCCUGGUUGCUGUGCCAGUUGGGAUACUGUUGUGUACUGCUGCAAUCUGCUGGUGGUGUGAUAGAAAACGGCGUCUCUCUGGAGACCGGCAGGAACGUGUUGGUCUGAUCUCCCGCCCAGAAAGCCUGAACAGUUUAUCUGAACCUGACCCACCACUGUAGCAGCCCUAAGAAACUGGCACAUCUGAUCCCUGAGCUGUCCUUGUUCCCCAGCCCUUCCUCAGCUGCACUGCAGCAGCAGCAGAAACUACCCAGCCCCAGCCACAACAGGAACAGCCUCGUCCACCCCCAAGCCUGCUGGCCCAGCCCUCCGGACAGAGCUGAGGGUGGGCUCAUCAGGGAAGGGGUUGGGCUGACAGAAACAUGACCCACAGCUUCAGGGAUCAGCUCUUUUUGUCUGAAUAAAAGGAACAGAAU